rnacentral:rRNA from 1 species
UACGGAGUGUGCAAGCGUUGUUCGGAAUCAUUGGGCGUAAAGCGCGCGUAGGCGGCUUGGUAAGUGGGGUGUGAAAGCCCUGGGCUCAACCCAGGAAGCGCGCCCCAAACUGCCUUGCUUGAGUACGGGAGGGGAGAGCGGAAUUCCCAGUGUAGAGGUGAAAUUCGUAGAUAUUGGGAGGAACACCAGUGGCGAAGGCGGCUCUCUGGACCGAUACUGACGCUGAGGCGCGAAAGCGUGGGGAGCAAACAGG